UAAGACGAACCGUGCGAACGUUAUUCGGAAUCAUUGGGCUUAAAGGGCGCGUAGGCGGCGAUAUAAGUUGGAAGUGAAAUCCCAUCGGCUCAACCGUGGAAUAGCUCCCAGUACUGUAUCGCUCGAGGGGGAUAGGGGUCUGCGGAACUACCGGUGGAGCGGUGAAAUGUGUUGAUAUCGGUGGGAACG
rnacentral:rRNA from 1 species